rnacentral:rRNA from 1 species
UACGUAGGGUGCGAGCGUUGUCCGGAAUUACUGGGCGUAAAGAGCUCGUAGGUGGUUUGUCGCGUUGUUCGUGAAAACUCACAGCUCAACUGUGGGCGUGCGGGCGAUACGGGGCAGACUGGAGUACUGCAGGGGAGACUGGAAUUCCUGGUGUAGCGGUGGAAUGCGCAGAUAUCAGGAGGAACACCGGUGGCGAAGGCGGGUCUCUGGGCAGUAACUGACGCUGAGGAGCGAAAAGCGUGGGGGAGCAAACAGG